AAUAUACAAUGUAUAUUCACUUUUACUACCAACUGAUAGAUUAAAACAAUCUUUACCAUUCAGUGAUAACAAGCACUUUUUUACAUUUUAAUAUUUUAUGAUGUAUUUAAAUGAGUAGUUAUUGUUGCAAACUUCAUUAGAAAUUUGAAUUGAGAUCAGUUUUGAAAUAAGGGAAAGGGGGAUGUGAAAAAAAAAUUCGAGGGUCAAUUUUUUUCAUUUCAGAUUUCAUAAAUAAAAAGAAAAUUUCUUCAAACAUUUUUUUGAGAGGAUUAAUAUUCAACAGCAUAGUGAAUUACUCAAAGGCAAACAUUUUUUUUUAAGUUCAUUAGACCACAUUCAUUCUGUGUCAGAAAACCUAUGCUGUGUCAACUAUUUAAUCACAAUCCAAAAUUUAGAGCUGAAUCCAGCUUGAAUGUUGUGUCCAUACUUGCCCAACCGUUCAGGGUUCAACCUCUGCGGUCGUAUAAAGCUGCGCCCUGCGGAGCAUCUGGUUAUUCUUAUUAUAGAUUUUAAUGCUGACACAUUAAGCAGUCAAUCAAUAAUAUAUUAUUUCAGUAGAAAAUUUAGUAAUCAAAUUUAUUGAUUUUUUAACCAUUUUAUUGAACAUGAAUACCUCAAUAUGUAAAGACAAGAAUUGGGAAUAAAAAACAUUAUGCAAUAUUCACGUUCCAUUAAAAGAAUAAUGUUAAGAUUAAUUUUAAUAUGUAUUUAAUUGAGUUUGAAAUAUUUGUUUUACUUGGCUUAGUUGAUCUUUGUUUAUAAAUUGUUUUGUUAAUU
rnacentral:lncRNA from 1 species